GGAGGAUUCGCCUAGUGGCCUAUGGCGCUCGCUUGGAAAGCGGGUUGGGAUAAAACCCUCGGGAGUUCGAAUCUCCCAUCCUCCG
rnacentral:tRNA from 8 species